CAGGUUGAAGCGGGGGUAAAACCCCGUGGAGGACCGAACCACGUUGCUGUUGAAAAAGCAUGGGAUGAGCUGUGGAUAGCGGAGAAAUUCCAAUCGAACCCGGAGAUAGCUGGUUCUCUCCGAAAUAGCUUUAGGGCUAGCGUCGAGUAUGAGUAGUGGAGGUAGAGCACUGAAUGGGCUAGGGGGCAUAGCGCUUACCGAACCUUAUCAAACUCCGAAUGCCACAUACUUUGAGCUCGGCAGUCAGACUACGAAUGAUAAGAUCCGUGGUCAAAAGGGAAACAGCCCAGAUCGUCAGCUAAGGUCCCAAAGUGUAAGUUAAGUGGGAAAGGAUGUGAGAUUUCUAAGACAACUAGGAUGUUGGCUUAGAAGCAGCCAUUCAUUAAAAGAGUGCGUAAUAGCUCACUAGUCGAGAGAUCUUGCGCCGAAAAUGUAACGGGGCUAAACUUACCACCGAAGCUACGGGCUUGAACUUAGUUCAAGCGGUAGGAGAGCGUCGUAACCGGGCUGAAGUCGUACCGUAAGGAGCGGUGGACUGGUUACGAGUGAGAAUGUUGGCAUCAGUAGCGAGAUGUGGGUGAGAAUCCCACAGGCCGAAAACCUAAGGUUUCCUCAGGAAGGUUCGUCCGCUGAGGGUUAGUCGGGACCUAAGCCGAGGCCGAAAGGCGUAGGUGAUGGACAACUGGUUGAUAUUCCAGUACCACUACCAUCGUUAUUAUCGAUGGCGUGACGCAGGAGGAUAGUGUGUGCUAGCUAUUGGAUGCUAGUCUAAGCGUUUAGGCAGUGAGAGUAGGCAAAUCCGCUCUCAUAAUGCUGAGGCGUGAUGGGGAAGGUUCUACGGAACCGAAGUACAUGAUUCCACGCUGCCAAGAAAAGCGUCUAGAGAGAGAAGUAGUGCCCGUACCGCAAACCGACACAGGUAGGUGAGGAGAGAAUCCUAAGGCCGGCGGAAGAAUUACAGUUAAGGAACUCGGCAAAUUGACCCCGUAAGUUCGCGAGAAGGGGUGCCUACGAGAGUAGGCCGCAGAGAAUAGGCCCAAGCAACUGUUUAGCAAAAACACAGGUCUCUGCUAAAGCGUAAGCUGAUGUAUAGGGGCUGACGCCUGCCCGGUGCUGGAAGGUUAAGGGGAACACUUAGCGCAAGCGAAGGUGUGAACUUAAGCCCCAGUAAACGGCGG
rnacentral:rRNA from 2 species